GCUUACGGCCAUACCACCCUGAGAACGCCCGAUCUCGUCUGAUCUCGGAAGCUAAGCGGGGUCGGGCCUGGUUAGUACUUGGAUGGGAGACCGCCUGGGAAUACCAGGUGCUGUAAGCC
rnacentral:rRNA from 1 species